rnacentral:rRNA from 1 species
UACGGGGGGAGCAAGCGUUGUUCGGAAUCACUGGGCGUAAAGCGCACGUAGGCGGAUGUGUCAGUCAGGGGUGAAAUCCCGGAGCUCAACUUCGGAACUGCCUCUGAUACAGCACGUCUUGAGUCCGAUAGAGGUGGGUGGAAUUCCUAGUGUAGAGGUGAAAUUCGUAGAUAUUAGGAAGAACACCGGUGGCGAAGGCGGCCCACUGGAUCGGUACUGACGCUGAGGUGCGAAAGCGUGGGGAGCAAACAGG